CGGCGCACGGGUGCGUAACGCGUAUGCAAUCUACCCUUUACAGAGGGAUAGCCCAGAGAAAUUUGGAUUAAUACCUCAUAGUAUAUAGCCCUGGCAUCAGGAUUAUAUUAAAGUCACAACGGUAAAAGAUGAGCAUGCGUCCCAUUAGCUAGUUGGUAAGGUAACGGCUUACCAAGGCUACGAUGGGUAGGGGUCCUGAGAGGGAGAUCCCCCACACUGGUACUGAGACACGGACCAGACUCCUACGGGGGGCAGCAGUGAGGAAUAUUGGACAAUGGGCGCAAGCCUGAUCCAGCCAUGCCGCGUGCAGGAUGACGGUCCUAUGGAUUGUAAACUGCUUUUAUACGAGAAGAAACACUCCUUCGUGAAGGAGCUUGACGGUAUCGUAAGAAUAAGGAUCGGCUAACUCCGUGCCAGCAGCCGCGGUAAUACGGAGGAUCCAAGCGUUAUCCGGAAUCAUUGGGUUUAAAGGGUCCGUAGGCGGUUUAAUAAGUCAGUGGUGAAAGCCCAUCGCUCAACGGUGGAACGGCCAUUGAUACUGUUAGACUUGAAUUAUUAGGAAGUAACUAGAAUAUGUAGUGUAGCGGUGAAAUGCUUAGAGAU
rnacentral:rRNA from 1 species